UCAUAUUGACGAGGUUAGAUGCAAUAAAUGGAUACAUGCGUCAAGGAGAGUGGAUUUAACAGUAGAAAAAAUUAAUAAAUAUUCAUAUGUGUGCUCAAAACAUUUUAUCGGUGGAAAAGGUCCAACUGUAGAAAAUCCUGAUCCUGUUUCUGCAACGAUUAGCAAAGUACCAAAGGCACGAAAAAAAACGACUUUCAACAUCAACAAUUGAUUUUCUGUGCAGUCCAGACCAAAAAUGAAAAAGAGGCAAAGAUGCUAACUCAGAUUUUUUCAUUCCAAGUCAACAAAAUGAUACUCAAGAUAUUUUAGUAGACGACUAUUUAACUCCUAAAUUUACUGAACCACCACCAAGU